GUCAGUUUGUCCGAGUGGUUAAGGAGUCAGACUUGAAAUUUGGUGGGCUCUGCCCGCGCAGGUUCAAACCCUGCAGCUGGCG
rfam:Neocallimastix californiae strain G1 LY90scaffold_187, whole genome shotgun sequence.